GUAAUUUUUUUCGCUGCAACGUUGAUUCAGACCAAACAUUUCAUCUCAAACCUCAAAACCAAUUUCGAAAUACAUAUCCCGCGCUCAGUACUCCCUUCUUCUUCCCUCAACUUUCCCUGCGUCUCGCCCGUCGCCGGUGAUUCUCGCCAGUUGUCAUCGCCGCUAGGUCUUGCCCGUUGUCGGUGGUACUCCAGCAAGGGUCUAUUUCCUCGCCUCCUCACCAGUGGUUCUCUGCUCGAUAAACCACCGCAGAAGUUAUUCCCUGCUCGAAAAACCACCGGUGAAGUCAUUUCCUGCUCAAAAAACUAAGCUACUUUGCUCGGCCGGUUCGUGAACCCUGUUCUCCGUCAAUCCUUGCCGCAACAAUUAAAUCUCCAAAAUUUUCGCUUUUUUGGAAGUUCGGUGAUUCCAAGUCCUGUGGUAAAGGUGUUGAUGUAUUGAGAUCAAGGAGACUACUUUGCCACUUGUUGCCUUGGAAAAGAGCUACUUAUUGGAGUCGAAAACCAUUUUCUUCAAGAAAGAGGGGUGCUGUGUAUGUAAGGUCGGGUCGUGGUUUUUCUUUAAGAAGAUCAAAGGUCGUAAGUCUCUCUUGAACCAGUUUAAAAUGGUCCGAGUCCAUGGAAAAGCGUUCAAAGAAGUUUGAAGAUGUUAGUUAUGUAUUUAUUUCAAUGUAAUUUCUACAAAUGAGAUUGUUUUCUUGUGGCUCUUCACUAAUAAAUGGGUGCACCAUACAGCUUGUAAAUAGGUAACUUCAUCCUCACCUGUAGCAUAUUUGGUGGAAAGACAAAGAAAUAACAAGGCUGGUGGGAUAUUAAGAGGCCAAUAUUUGAAGAACCAGAGAGAGAUUUGUAUUUAUGCCUUAUCAGUUGGUCGAAGAAGAAUCCUGUUUGGUGCCAAUGUGGAUGAUUCUUAUUAUGACGGUCUGCUCUGGACACUACGGAGCUUACAUCAACUCUCGAUGCUGCUUGUGCCCCUAGUGAUCUGGAUUGAUCUGCAGCAAUACCUGAACUCAAUGUUGUUUAUGGUAGAGUGAGCAGGCGCAAGGUCCCAAUCUGAAAGUUGUGGCAGUUAAGCUGGCUACUGAUCUGCAUGUACUAUCUGCACAUCAGUUACUUGCAUUUUCCAUAAUGAGAUGCAACUAGGAUAGCCAACAAUUUGGGCUGCUGUCUGAAGGGUUUUCCUCCUCACAGGAACAUCGAAUACUGCGUGUAUCUACAGGGGAGCUUGGUGCUGCUCGGGCAAACCAAGACAAUGCAGACACAAAAGACUUAAAAGAGCAGGUUUCCAACCUCAAAGCAGCUUUAGCCAAGAAGGAAGAAGAAAUGGAGAACCUUUCUCGUCCAUUAACCAGCACUCCAGAAACAAUCUGGUCUACACUCCGAGGAAUGCGCCUUAUGCUAGUGAGGAAAUUGAUGUGGUUCGUGAGCAAUGGGCGAAGUUUUUUACCACCAAGUAUUUAUUAUUGACCUGAGGGCGCUUGAUCGAGUUGGUUUAGAUGUUAUAGAACAAUCUUUUAUGUUAAAAUGUAUGCGUACGUUGAAAUUGGAACGUAAAUAUAUUUAAAUGUAUCGGUAUGUGCACUUUUGGUUUUGGGAAAUAUACAAAACUCCAGUUGUUGUUUUUA